UGUUCUCCUCUCAUCCUGCAGACAAACCACAGUCCUUGGCUCCCCACAACGGAACAAGCACCCCCACUUCAAUCAAUCUGCUUGACAGCUGGAGCGAGGCAUCUCCGUAACAGUGGAGCAAUGCCAAAGGAGGUCGAGCUCCUGUGAGGCUUCCCCUACCACAUCCAUCAGCCCUGGAGAGACCACUGUGCGGAGCGGGCACAGUCUCUGCUCUGAAUGCCACUGGAGACAGAGAAGCAAAAGACACUUUUAUUGGAGGGGCUGCAACCAAAGGGCCUCCUCAGUCACUUCCCAGGCUUGCAGCUGCCUCAGAGGAGCAGUGACACAAGGAAG